GGAAUUGCUGCACAACAAGCGAUGUGUGGCUCUGUGCAUUAUCGUGAUGCAGAAACCACUGUCCCUGCCACUUGUCAUGCCACUUUCUCAGAACUGUAUCUCACAACCUCUGCAAAACUUUCACAUAGAAAUGAUCUAUCAGAUUGAAUCGGUUGUCACACUUUUUCAAUUAUUUCUUUGGUUCUGGAUGUUGAAGGCCUCCCACUGCGCUGGUCAUCCUCCAGUGCUCUUGUCCGUUCUUAAACUGGGAAUAUCAGUCAUAAACUGUGGAUUUCUUUAGUGCAGUAUCACCAUAAACUUGCUGCAGGGCCAAUAGUGUCUCUGAAGCAGAUUUUCUCAAUUUGCACAUGAACUUGAUGUCCGUACACUGUUCGAACUGCAGCAUUGCACCAAAUGACCAACACUUGUGUCUAAUUCAAAUGGAACAGUAAUGACAUUGCAUGCUGAAACCCGUCCAGACCUGUUGGACCUGCAAGCAGACAUGCUGAGCUCCCCAUAACAAUAAUGCGUGUACUAUCUUGUCUCUCGUUCUUCAUCUGCAGGGGAAUUCUGGGAACUUUUUGACUGUCCAGUGUACAAUGUUAUGGUAGUACUGUAAAUAAUGAGGAAACUCAUAAUUUUGAUGGAAACAAAGAGACGUUUAAAAAUAUUGAAAGGCUGUCAUAACAAUUACAAAUAAGAACUUAAAACACACAUAAGUUGCUACAAUAAAUAUUUUUUGUAAUUAAUGUUUCAACCAUACCUGUAAGUUAUAGCUUCUGCCACUAUAUAAGCCAGUGUGCAGCCCAAAGGAGGACAGAUGAAUCAAGACUCACUUUCAUUUUUAAAUUUUUGGUUUUGUAAACUGAGUAACUGUGUCAUGUAAAUAGUGCAGGAGCAUUUUCUUUUUAUACAACUGACUUUUUUUUUACUGCAAGGUUGCUGUAAUAUUAUAAGUACUUUCAAAAUAAACAUUUAAGUAAGUGUUUUUCAUUAAAUACACAUUGCUGUAUUUGUAAUGUUCUCAUUGCCAGUGCAUGGACAGUGUAUACCAUUUUAGGUUUGAAAAUGACAAUAUGUUCUAAAUAUUUUGAUGUCUUAAUUGAUGUGUUCUAAGAAAACUCAUUGAAAUAAAUAUAUCUUUACAAUUUUUUCCUAAAACCCUCAUUUAAAAAUUUGUUGCAUGUUAAAUUGAAGGACUUUUAUAUUCAAAGUAAUACAGUAUACUGUAUGAACCUUGGCUGUCUCCUUUGGUAUUUCAGAUUUGUUACUUGAACCAGUAAUAGUGAAUACCAGUACGUUCAUCCAUUCUGCACAGAUGGCAUCAUUAUAUAAGUAUAAAUGUAGACUGUAUACAUUUUAAGUGAGAAUUACAAAGCAACACACCAAAUACUAGUGUAUGUACUUUCUUGUGUGUAAGAUGGUUUCUGUUUGAUUGUACCUAGCUGUGUAAGGAUAGAAUUGAUUCUGAUAACAAAGCAUUAUUAUACAGUGUAUUUAUUUUUGUAAGCAUAGGUGCAUAAAUAAAUACCAAUUACUUUUGUAUGGAAACUGUGACUAUUUUCUUUAUUAAAUAACAAAAGACUGACUGAUGUCUUCAUGAAUGUGUCAACAUGAUGAGGAAAAUUUUGUAGAGAAUAUUAAGUAACAUGGAAAACCUAGCAGUUUUCCCCCCUUUUCAAUUUGUUAGCUGUAACUGAUGAAUCAUAAAAUUUGGUAUCUAAGUAGAUCAUAAAUUAUACCUUAGAAUUUUAUAUGGAACUUUUCUGUUUCAGUUAAAAUUACAGAAAUGAUUAUGUUGUGGAACUCUUUGAGAUUAAAACUGACAGAUGCAUAUAUGGGAUAUGUGGAUGUGUAUGACAGUCUGCACUGACUGACUCAUCGUCUUGACUGCUUUGUGCUAUGCAAAACUGAACUCUGCCUUCAUGAGAUGUUGACAGCUACUUCAUGGGCACAGUCACACUUCAAAAAGGUUACAGGGAAAUCUUAAGUGAACUUGGCCUUCAUUGGAAGCCGAGUGGUUCCCAAAACAUACCAGAAGAUGCAAAGAGGGGGAUACCUGGCUCCUCACACAGCAAAGGCUGGAGUGUCUACUUUUCCCACAGCUGUAGAGAUAGUGCUAAUUGGAACUUAUCUGUUCUCUCCAUCACACAGAGAAACACAUAACCUCAAGUCCUUUCAGCAGUCACCUACCUACAGUGUGAUCAGAGAGAAGGUUUCUGAGAGGAAUGAAAUGCUUGUGAUGUGCAAGGAAAGAGUGCAGUCUUCUGAGCAAGAAAUUUAAGAAGAUGAGGCAGAAGCUACACCAAUGAAUGUAUAUGUGUGGAUGGUACAUGGAUGAAGCUGGGGGACACACUGUAUGGUCUCACAUCAGUAAGAGGCAUGGACAUGGGGAAGCAGAUAAUAUCUAAAUACUAUCAUAAGUGUUCAGUCAGGAAGAAAUUAUAAGAUCCCACCGGUGAGAAGGGGGAAGAGAAAAUCAUAAACAUUCCUAUAAUUAGAAUAUUCUGGAUCAAAUAGUGACAGCAAACCUGAAGAAGAGGUGAAAAAUGUUUGCUAGCUAACAAGCUGAUUGUGGUAUGGUACACCAAAGUCCUAGGAGGUGGUGAUACGUGGUCUUGUUCUUCUGUAGUGGAAAGUAAGCCCUUUGGAACUGCGAUGUCAGUAAACUGGAGUGUAUUGGACAUAUCCCAAAAAGAAUUGGAGGUAAUUUGUAAAGGACAAGAAAGGUAUCUUCGUGGAAGAUGGCAAGAGUUUCAGUGAGAAAGGGCAAGCAUCCUGUACCAAAGCAAUAAGACAAUGCUGAAAGUUUAAGUGCAAUGAUGGCUGCAGUUUGGGCUGUUUAUUUUCGUAGACUAUCCACAGAUGAAAGAACAUGGUACAACCUAUACCCUAAAGAUGAACAUACAUGAUGUAGGUACAAUAGAGACAGUAAGAAUUACUGAUCAUAAUGAAAACCAUUCAAUCCACUUUUGAGAACCUGCUGAAUCAGAACUGUUGAAGAAGUACUUCUUUUGGCUUAUUUUGGACUUCAUCCAUCG